UACGUAGGGUGCAAGCGUUAAUCGGAAUUACUGGGCGUAAAGCGUGCGCAGGCGGUUGUGCAAGACAGAUGUGAAAUCCCCGGGCUCAACCUGGGAACUGCAUUUGUGACUGCACAGCUUGAGUGCGGCAGAGGGGGAUGGAAUUCCGCGUGUAGCAGUGAAAUGCGUAGAUAUGCGGAGGAACACCGAUGGCGAAGGCAGCCCCCUGGGCUAGCACUGACGCUCAGGCACGAAAGCGUGGGGAGCAAACAGG
rnacentral:rRNA from 1 species